rnacentral:rRNA from 1 species
UGCGUAGGCGGCUCCGUAAGUCUGGUGUGAAAGCCCUGGGCUCAGCCCGGGAAGGGCGCUAGAAACUGGGGAGCUGGAGUGCCGGAGGGGAGAGUGGAAUUCCUGGUGUAGCGGUGAAAUGCGUAGAGAUCAGGAGGAAUACCGGUGGCGAAAGCGACUCUCUGGACGGCAACUGACGCUGAGGCACGAAAGCGUGGGGAGCAAACA